AUUGAACGCUGGCGGCAGGCCUAACACAUGCAAGUCGAGCGGAUGAAGGGAGCUUGCUCCUGGAUUCAGCGGCGGACGGGUGAGUAAUGCCUAGGAAUCUGCCUGGUAGUGGGGGAUAACGUCCGGACACGGGCGCUAAUCCCGCAUACGUCCUGAGGGAGAAAGUGGGGGAUCUUCGGACCUCACGCUAUCAGAUGAGCCUAGGUCGGAUUAGCUAGUUGGUGGGGUAAAGGCCUACCAAGGCGACGAUCCGUAACUGGUCUGAGAGGAUGAUCAGUCACACUGGAACUGAGACACGGUCCAGACUCCUACGGGAGGCAGCAGUGGGGAAUAUUGGACAAUGGGCGAAAGCCUGAUCCAGCCAUGCCGCGUGUGUGAAGAAGGUCUUCGGAUUGUAAAGCACUUUAAGUUGGGAGGAAGGGCAGUAAGUUAAUACCUUGCUGUUUUGACGUUACCAACAGAAUAAGCACCGGCUAACUUCGUG
rnacentral:rRNA from 1 species